rnacentral:rRNA from 1 species
AGUGGCGGACGGGUGAGUAAUGUCUGGGAAACUGCCCGAUGGAGGGGGAUAACUACUGGAAACGGUAGCUAAUACCGCAUAACGUCUUCGGACCAAAGUGGGGGACCUUCGGGCCUCACACCAUCGGAUGUGCCCAGAUGGGAUUAGCUAGUAGGUGGGGUAAUGGCUCACCUAGGCGACGAUCCCUAGCUGGUCUGAGAGGAUGACCAGCCACACUGGAACUGAGACACGGUCCAGACUCCUACGGGAGGCAGCAGUGGGGAAUAUUGCACAAUGGGCGCAAGCCUGAUGCAGCCAUGCCGCGUGUAUGAAGAAGGCCUUCGGGUUGUAAAGUACUUUCAGCGGGGAGGAAGGCGAUGAGGUUAAUAACCUUGUCGAUUGACGUUACCCGCAGAAGAAGCACCGGCUAACUCCGUGCCAGCAGCCGCGGUAAUACGGAGGGUGCAAGCGUUAAUCGGAAUUACUGGGCGUAAAGCGCACGCAGGCGGUCUGUCAAGUCGGAUGUGAAAUCCCCGGGCUUAACCUGGGAACUGCAUUCGAAACUGGCAGGCUAGAGUCUUGUA